GAUGAACGCUGGCGGCGUGCCUAAUACAUGCAAGUCGAGCGAACGGACGAGAAGCUUGCUUCUCUGAUGUAGCGGCGGACGGGUGAGUAACACGUGGAUAACCUACCUAUAAGACUGGGAUAACUUCGGGAAACCGUAGCUAAUACCGGAUAAUAUUUUGAACCGCAUGGUUCAAAAGUGAAAGACGGUCUUGCUGUCACUUAUAGAUGGAUCCGCGCUGCAUUAGCUAGUUGGUAAGGUAACGGCUUACCAAGGCAACGAUGCAUAGCCGACCUGAGAGGGUGAUCGGCCACACUGGAACUGAGACACGGUCCAGACUCCUACGGGAGGCAGCAGUAGGGAAUCUUCCGAAAUGGGCGAAAGCCUGACGGAGCAACGCCGCGUGAGUGAUGAAGGUCUUCGGAUCGUAAAACUCUGUUAUUAGGGAAGAACAUAUGUGUAAGUAACUGUGCACAUCUUGACGGUACCUAAUCAGAAAGCCACGGCUAACUACGU
rnacentral:rRNA from 1 species